rnacentral:rRNA from 1 species
GACGAACGCUGGCGGCGUGCCUAAUACAUGCAAGUCGAACGAGAGCAACCGGUGCUUGCACUGGUCAAUCUAGUGGCGAACGGGUGAGUAACACGUGGGUAACCUGCCCAUCAGAGGGGGAUAACAUCCGGAAACGGAUGCUAAAACCGCAUAGGUCUUCGAACCGCAUGGUUUGAAGAGGAAAAGAGGCGCAAGCUUCUGCUGAUGGAUGGACCCGCGGUGCAUUAGCUAGUUGGUGAGGUAACGGCUCACCAAGGCCGUGAUGCAUAGCCGACCUGAGAGGGUGAUCGGCCACAUUGGGACUGAGACACGGCCCAAACUCCUACGGGAGGCAGCAGUAGGGAAUCUUCCGCAAUGGACGCAAGUCUGACGGAGCAACGCCGCGUGAGUGAAGAAGGUUUUCGGAUCGUAAAACUCUGUUGUUAGAGAAGAACAAGUGCUAGAGUAACUGUUAGCGCCUUGACGGUAUCUAACCUGAAAGCCACGGCUAACUACGUG